AUAUCUGGCCAUAUCACACUGAGAGCAUCGGUUCUCGUCUGAUCACCGAAGUUAAGCAACGUCGAGCUUAGUGAGUACUUAGAUGGGUGACCGCUUGGGAAACCUAGGCGCUGUAAGUG
rnacentral:rRNA from 1 species